rnacentral:rRNA from 1 species
GACGAACGCUGGCGGCGUGCCUAACACAUGCAAGUCGAGCGGAGAUUGCAGCAAUGUAAUCUUAGCGGCGGACGGGUGAGUAACGCGUGGGCAACCUACCUUCCACUGGGGGAUAACACAGGGAAACUUGUGCUAAUACCGCAUAACAUGGUGAAGAGACAUCUCUUUAUCAUCAAAGGAGUAAUCCGGUAGAAGAUGGGCCCGCGUCCGAUUAGCUAGUUGGUGAUGUAACGGACCACCAAGGCGACGAUCGGUAGCCGAACUGAGAGGUUGAUCGGCCACAUUGGGACUGAGACACGGCCCAGACUCCUACGGGAGGCAG